rnacentral:rRNA from 1 species
AACGAACGCUGGCGGCAUGCCUAACACAUGCAAGUCGAACGAUCCCUUCGGGGAUAGUGGCGCACGGGUGCGUAACGCGUGGGAACCUGCCCUUAGGUUCGGCAUAACUCAGAGAAAUUUGAGCUAAUACCGGACAAUGUCUUCGGACCAAAGAUUUAUCGCCUUUGGAUGGGCCCGCGUUGGAUUAGCUAGUUGGUGGGGUAAAGGCCUACCAAGGCGACGAUCCAUAGCUGGUCUGAGAGGAUGAUCAGCCACACUGGGACUGAGACGCGGCCCAGACUCCUACGGGAGGCGGCAGUGGGGAAUAUUGGACAAUGGGCGAAGGCCUGAGCCAGCAAUGCCGCGUGAGUGAUGAAGGCCUUAGGGUUGUAAAGCUCUUUUACCCGGGAUGAUAAUGACAGUACCGGGAGAAUAAGCCCCGGCUAACUCCGUG